GUCAUGGCUCAGGAUGAACGCUAGCUACAGGCUUAACACAUGCAAGUCGAGGGGAAACGACAUCGAAAGCUUGCUUUUGAUGGGCGUCGACCGGCGCACGGGUGAGUAACGCAUAUCCAACCUGCCCACCACUUGGGGAUAACCUUGCGAAAGUAAGACUAAUACCCAAUGACAUCCCACGAAGACAUCUGAAUGGGAUUAAAGAUUUAUCGGUGAUGGAUGGGGAUGCGU
rnacentral:rRNA from 1 species